GGGAGGAUGGCCGAGUGGUUUAAGGCGGCAGAUUUAAGUCUUUCCGUUAACUCUUUGACUUCUCUGCUAUCGAAAGAUGCGUGGGUUCGAACCCCACUCCUCUCA
rfam:Cladophialophora psammophila CBS 110553 aczJe-supercont1.4, whole genome shotgun sequence.